rnacentral:rRNA from 1 species
UAUUGCACAAUGGGGGGAACCCUGAUGCAGCGACGCCGCGUGAGUGAAGAAGUGUUUCGACAUGUAAAGCUCUAUCAGCAGGGAAGAAAGGCCUUUUAAGGGAGAUGACGGUACCUGAUUAAGAAGCCCGGCCAAACUACGGGCAUGCAGCCGCGGUAAUACGUAGGGGGCAAGCGUUAUCCGGAUUUACUGGGUGUAAAGGGAGCGCAGACGGCAAUGCAAGUCUGAUGUGAAAACCCGGGGCUUAACCCCGGGCCUGCAUUGGAAACUGUAUAGCUGGAGUAUCGGAGAGGUGAGCGGAAUUCCUGGUGUAGCGGUGAAAUGCGCAGAUAUCAGGAAGAACACCGGCGGCGAAGGCGGCUCACUGGACGACAACUGACGUUGAGGCUCGAAAGCGUGGGUAGCAAAC